GACGAACGCUGGCGGCGUGCCUAAUACAUGCAAGUCGAGCGAGGAAGAUUGGUGCGUGCCCCAAUUUUAAGAGCAGCUAACGGGUGAGUACCUCGUGGGUAAUCUGCCUUUCAUCGGGGGACAACAUUUGGAAACGAAUGCUAAUACCUCAUAACAGCUUUAAACAUAAGUUUUAAUUUUGAAAUAUGCAAUUGCAUCACUCAAAGAUGAUCCCGCGUUCUAUUAGCUAGUGGGUGAGGUAAAGGCUCACCAAGGCGAUGAUACAUAGCCGACCUGGGAGGGUGAUCGGCCACAUUGGGACUGGGACACGGCCCAAACUCCUACGGGAGGCAGCAGUAGGGAUAAUUCGGAAAUGGACGAGAGUCUGAGCGAGAAACGCCGAGGGAGUGAAGAAGGAUUUCGGAUCGUAAAACUCUGUUGGUAGAGAAGAACGUUGGUGAGAGUGGAAAGCUCAUGAAGUGACGGUAACUAAACAGAAAGGGACGGCUAACUACGUG
rnacentral:rRNA from 1 species